UGGGGAAUUUUGGACAAUGGGCGAAAGCCUGAUCCAGCAAUGCCGCGUGUGUGAAGAAGGCCUUCGGGUUGUAAAGCACUUUUGUCCGGAAAGAAAUCCUUGGCUCUAAUACAGUCGGGGGAUGACGGUACCGGAAGAAUAAGCACCGGCUAACUACGUGCCAGCAGCCGCGGUAAUACGUAGGGUGCAAGCGUUAAUCGGAAUUACUGGGCGUAAAGCGUGCGCAGGCGGUUUGCUAAGACCGAUGUGAAAUCCCCGGGCUCAACCUGGGAACUGCAUUGGUGACUGGCAGGCUAGAGUAUGGCAGAGGGGGGUAGAAUUCCACGUGUAGCAGUGAAAGUGCGUAGAGAUGUGGAGGAAUACCGAUGGCGAAGGCAGCCCCCUGGGCCAAUACUGACGCUCAUGCACGAAAGCGUGGGGAGCAAACAGGAUUAGAUACCCUGGUAGUCCACGCCCUAAACGAUGUCAACUAGUUGUUGGGGACUUCAUUUCCUUAGUAACGUAGCUAACGCGUGAAGUUGACCGCCUGGGGAGUACGGUCGCAAGAUUAAACUCAAUGAAUUG
rnacentral:rRNA from 1 species